rnacentral:lncRNA from 1 species
UUCGGGGGAGUAACGGUGGAAUUCACACUGAUUUUUCUCUGUGUUUAGGGAGUUCCAAAGUUACUGAAGGAGUGCUGCUGUGAGUCACCUUCCCGCCAGCCAGGUUUCUAAACUGAGCACCCAUGGCUGGAGGCAGAGUUCCAAGAGAAGCCAGCUCCCCAAAGCUCCCAUCAAGACUCAAAGGUCAGACCUAUGGAAGAAAACUGGAAAUUUGAGCCAUUUAUUUUGGGCUGUAAAUGUGAUCUAAGCAUUUCUGAAAAAAUCUCUCUGCUCUGUUCCAGUUCCAAUCAAGUUAAACAGAGUUUUUCCCUCUCAGCCUAGAGUUCAAGCCCCCAAGACCUGACUUUUUUGAUGUUCUCAGGGUGGUGUCAAACUUCACACGCUGCAAAGGCAGCUGUAGCCAUGAGGGCUGGUCUGCCAGAAGCUGGGCACACAGGAAACGCCACAAGCCACCUGUCAAAAACCUGACUGCAAUGAGAUUGAGAAUAACUCUCCCAGUUUGCCGGGGCUCGGGCAGGCACCGCACAGGGAAACAAGGUCCUAUUCAGCCAGACGCCGCUGGAGUGACUGCUGCGUGGCCAAGGUACUCCUUCCCAUGAAUAAGGGGACAAAAGUCUGGGGCUAAUGAGAAGCAACAGCAUUUGAGUGUUUGUUUUAGAGACAGUGG